UUCUGCUGUGACGUGAGCUCUGUUUCCUCCACAGGCUGUUUUCCUCAGGAUGGACUCUUGCAUGCUGGUGUGUGCUGCCAGCCGGCAAUGACAAAAACAUCCUCCCAGUCUGCUACCUGCCCCUGUGGCCUUGUUCCUCUCCAUACACAUUCUCUUGUUUGCAGGAAGGCCAGGUUUCCUGUGUGACAGGGAUUGCGGGGGCUGUAGUCCAUUUUCUGUCUUAUACACUUAGUUCUGCAUCUUUUGUUCUCCACUUCAAUGCUUAUAUACACAGGUGGUUUUUGAUCAUCAAAUUCAGCCGCAUAUGGGUGUACACUGCGUUUAUUCAGCAUGGCUGUGUCUUAUGAACCUUUGCCUGCACUUGAUGCUUUAAUGGCAUUGUCAUCAGGCAAUUUGACCAAAGCAGUCCUGAGAUUGUGGUCCUAGCGUUCCCAGGCUCAGUUACAGUUCUAGCUAUUUCCAGCUAACCAGCUGUGAUGGAAGCAUGCCAGCAGGACUCUUCGGUUUAGCCAAGACAGGGUCUUCAGUUUUAUUUGUUCCUCAACUCUGACAUCCAUCAUUCAACACUGGGUGUGUACACACUCUCUUGCAUUUGGUGAAAAUAUUUACAUUUCUAAAUGUAAAUCUAAAAGCAUGCAUAAAAUUGGUUUUCAUAUUUUGAGUUAUUGUAUCUUUCUCUUCCGUUAUAUUAUCACUAAGAGUUGAAAUAAAUCAAGCAUCUAAGCCCAUAUGCAAUUCUUUCUGAUCUCAUUUCUCCUAUGUGUCUGAGAACAGAUGCCCAGGGGCCAUACACAAAGACAUUGCUGAUCAUUCUGUCAACAUGUUUGAGGCUUUAACAUGGUCCACACAGACAGUCAGCAGUGGCAAGGGGCCAUAUGAUGGGCUCAGACAGGGCUGAAGCUGUUGAGUAAUAUUUGCACACUCUCCAGCACAUGGUUUGCCAGAGAUGGUCAACCUUAGCUUGUGGAUCAGGUAUCCUCUACCUCGGCAACAAGUCUCUUGGCACUUUUACACAGGCAGAAAAUAGAGAAGCCAGCACGGGGGGCAAUUUCCUGUCUUUCCUCCUCCAUGUUGGCAUCAAAAAUAGAUUUUUUUUGUGAGUAGGCAUUAAACAAGCAUAGUAUUAAAAGAAAAUACUGAAGAUGUACCACAAAAUGUGGUGGAAGAGCAUUACUGAAUACUUACCACAUAAAUCUUCUGAAAAGUUGAAACGAGUAGAUCAGAUAAAAAUGUGAUCUUAUUCGGGAAACCCUUCGAAGGUUCCUCCAUUUUUAGUGGACAAGGCGUUGACAAUCUUGGGUGUUAAAUGAGACAACAAAUGCAAAUUAAAGAGAUUGCGGCCACUGAAACUCUACAUAGCACCUGGUUAUGACAGUUAAAUAUUUUUUCCCCUCUUGAAUCUGUGUGGUUGUAACACCUUUGAGAGUUACUAAUACUGCGUUUUAGUGUUUAAGUUCUUGACUAAUAUUUGAAUCUGGUUGUAUGAAAUCAUUAUAAUGAUGUUUGAUCUUGCAUGUGAGACCUUUAAAAAAACAUGCUAAUGAGUCUGUAGACAAAGUCACCAGUAGUAUACCUGACUGGCUCAGUGUGUUUUGGAUUGAAUGUGCGCAACUGGAGGAGGGUGCUACCCAGUGUGCCAGUUGGGGUUUCCCUGAGCAGCCAAUGGCCUGUCUAUGGGGUUACAGCAUGUGCUGGACAGACUUAAUGAUUAACACUUGAUCCUUCCUGCUUGACUAUCAAACCUCAUUUUUACAUUUCAGCUUAUUAACAUUUGUCAUCUCAUUUAUCAUGGAUGAAAACUGCAGGUUGUGAGGGGUGGUGAAAAGGAGAUGGGGACCUAAAGUUGAAUCAGCUCUGUCACUGCCGAUGUGAAUGAGAUGUCUCCCGGGCUUGCCUGGUCUUUUUAAUGACCAUGUUAACUCAUCCCAUAUGUAAACACAGCAGAGAAAAGGAAACACAUUAAAUUCCUCAGCUGUUCAGCGUUCAUAGGGUCACAGAGAACAGGGCAAGUGCCGUACCGGCCGUUACUGACACGCCUUUACACCUCCAGUUAUUUUGAUUACCAAUUACUGCAGAAUAUUUCACUGAAAGUUCACAAUAAAACAAAUUAAAAGCAAUAGUAUACCUAAAAAUAAAUAAAUGAAUGAAUUUAUUUUUUAAGCUCAUAUUCUGUGGCAUAAAACAUCCACACUUCUACUCUUACACUGCUGUAAGAAAUCCAAGAUAGUGGUUGCUCAAUUUUAUAGUGUAGGUGAGCACUUUUCACAAACUCAGUUAAUCAUCUAAGAUUGUACAUGUUGUGCAUUCUGAGAUGCUUUUCUACUCACCACAGUUGUAAAGAGUGGUUAUUUGAGUUACCGUAGCGUUCCUAUCAGCUCAAACCAGUCAUCAAAAAGGUUUUUCCACCCACACCACACAUUGGCUGUGUUUUUUUUGUUAUUUUUUUUUUUAUUUUUUUUUUUUCCAGUAUUCUGUGUUUCUAAAUUACUUAAACCAGCCAGGCUGGCAUCAACAACCAUGCUGCAGUCAAAGCUUAUCACAGUUUGGAAAUUCUCAAAGUCACUCAGAUCCUUUGUCUGGCCCAUUUUAUUGUAACACCGACUACGUGCCAGGACUUCCUGCCCAAAAUUACUAAUGCCCUUGUGGUUAAAAAGCUACGCUGAGGACUAAUUCUGGAUUUUUAAAAAUGCACAUAUGGGUGCAUUACCCAUGUAUUUAUAUAUGUAUAUAUCUCAUGGAUAUCAAACAACUGCAAACACAACACAGGUUUAUCAAAAAAUAUCUUUGUUAAAUAUAGGUGUGCAACAAUUAUUGGCACCCCAAUGAAUUCAUAUGAGACAAAAUAUAUUUGAAGUAUAUUCACAUUGAUAUUUAACAUUUUUUAGUAUACCUGGGUGACUAGGAACAGGAAAUUGUUCAACCAUGACUUCCUGUUUCACAAGGGUAUAAAAAUGAGGUAACACAGGCCAAAUUCCCGUAGUCAUUUAUAACAAUGGGUAAGAUCGAGGAAUAUAGCUGUGAUGUGCGGCAAAAGGUUGUUGAACUUCACAAAAUUGAAAGUGGCUAUAAGAAAAUAGCACAAGCAUUGAAAGUGCCCAUUUCCACCAUCAGGGCAAUAAUUAAGAAGUUCCAGUCAACUGGAAAUGUUAUGAAUCAUCCUGUAAUUGGACAUGUGUCUAUAUUGUUUCAAUGCACUGUGAAGAGGAUGGGUUGAGUGGCCAAAAAGUCUCCAAGGAUCAAAGCUGGGGAAUUGCAGAAGUUAGUUGCAUCUUGUGUCAGAAAUUCUCCCAAACUACAAUCCGAAGUCACCUACAUCACCACAAGUUGUUUGGAAAGGUUUCAAGAAAAAAGCCUCUACUCUCAUCUAAAAACAAACUCAGGCAUCUUCAGUUUGCCAGACACUACUGGAACCUCAAAUGGGAUCGGGUUCUAUGGUCAGAUGAAAUCAAAAUAGAGAUUUUUGGCAAUAAACACCAGAGGUAGUUUUGGCGCACACAGAGAGGUAGCUAUAUGGAAAAGUACCUCAUGCCCACGGUUAAAUAUGGUGGUGGCUCUUUAAUGUAUUGGGGCUGUUUUUCUGCCAGAGGAUCUGGGCAUUUUGUUAGGAUACAUGGCAUCAUGGACUCUAUCACAUAUCAGCAGAUAUUAAAUGAAAACCUGACUGCUUCUGCCAGAAAGCUUAAAAUGGGCCGUGGUUGGAUCUUCCAGCAGGACAAUGAUCCAAAACAUACAUCAAAAUAAACACAAAAAUGUUUUACUGACCACAAAAUCAAGAUCCUGCCAUGACCAUCCCAGUCCCCUGACUCGAACCCCAUAGAAAACCUGUGGAGUGAACUGAAGAGGAGAGUCCACCAGUGUGGACCUCGAAAUUUGAAGGAUCUGGAGAGAUUCUGUAUGGAGGAACAGUCUCAGAUCCCUUGCCAUGUAUUCACCAACCUCCUCAGGCAUUAUCGGAGAAGACUUAAAGGGACGUAGCACAAAGUAUUGACUAAAAGGGUGCCAGUAAUUGUUGCACACCUAUAUUUAACAAAGAUAUUUUUUUGGAUAAACCCGUGUUGUGUUUGCAAUUGUUUAAUAUCCAUGAGAGCAGAGUAUUUUUGUGAAUUUUUAGAACAAAACAUCAAAAGCUUAAACAAUAAAGACAAUUUUUCAUAGCCUGUAUAUAUAUAUAGCUUGUGUCUUUCUUUUGCCUCCUUAGGACAAUUCCAGUGUGGACUUAUGUGGAUCUGCACUCUUUUUUGUUAAUCAUAAUGUUCCUCAGGUAAUGCACACUUGCUAUUUAUAGUCACAUGGAUGUUGGUUGAUCAUUUUACUCAAAAACACAUUUUCUUGCAAGGGUAAUGUAGUAAAAGAAUUCAAAUGUGUUUUGUUAUUAUCAUCCUUCCCAUAAUUCAAUUAAAACACCUCUCUGUUUUUUAUGUGAAUUUGCUGAUUCAAAAUCAGAAUCCAGUUUUUUCAGAGCAAGUGCUUAGCCAUGUGAGCCAUAGUACCAGGAAAAGCAGAAACAUAUAGAGUAGAAGAAGCCUCGCUUGGAUUCGUUCUCAGAGGACAGUCACCCCCUUAUUUAGACUGUUCAGAUGUUCAUUGGCAGAGUCUAUGCCAACUCAGCCUGAUCUCAUUUCUGAGUCCUAAGCCUGGGUGGCUUAGACCUGAACAUCAAAAGUACAUAAACAGUUCACAUUUGAUGAUCUCUAGAAGCUCCGAUUCACUUUUGGCACUUUUGAGUUUUUCUUUUUAUUAUUAGUAUUUAUUUAUUUUUUUUCCAUUUCAUGGAAUUUAAUGAAUUAAAAUACGGAAUUGAGUUAUUUAUUUAAAUAACCUCACGGGCAAAUUUAGUAUGCGUAUUAAAUGUAUAGACGAUGGUGGAUAUACUUGCACUUCUCACUGUCUAUACAGCUCUGACGUACUGUAUAGGGUACCCUCUUGAUGUUUCCAAAAAAGGUGUCAGUGGUUGAGGGGGAUAUCUCGUUCUUGUCCCUUAUUCAGAAUGCAGUGGGGCACCAGACGAGCAGGGCUGAGGUAGUGGUACACAGCUCUCAGCACCACUGGCUCUAUUUUGCAUGCUCAGAAUAAGCCCAAUAGCAUCCAAUUACACAGCUCUCAUGGAUUGUUUGGUGUCAACUGUUGGAGGGAUAUGAUGAUUCUGCUCUUCUAGUGUAAAAAGAUAUAUCGAGGUUCCUGUCCACUUUUUUGUGAGCAUAUUUUGUCCGUAUGCUCACUUGGUGAUGACAGUAACUGAAACAGAAUUAAAAUAGUGAGGCUUUCCCCUUUAAGGUAGUAGUGUAAUUGUGCUUUCAAGGCUCCUAGUUUGCAGAUGAGAUCCUGACAUGACCCUGUGUCACUUAUGUUGCAAAUCCUUCUGGGAUUGGUGCACUUAGUUACUGGUUUUUGCUGUAUGUCAUUGAUGAGUUUCAAUUAAAGCAAAGGAAGGAUAAUGCACAUGGUGGGAAACUGUGACAUGUAAAAACAAUCCAUGGGAGCAGUGUAAUUGUAUACGUUAUGGUAGUGAAAAUAGCAUGUGUAGGUUAGUGGAGAAGGCAGUAGUAUCUGAAUCGUCACAUUAAAGAUUUGGCUCUGGUUUCAUUCUCUUAAAGAGCCUUGUGAGGGAAGUAGGUAAUGGAGGGACUAAUAUAAAUGUGUGUGUGUGUGUGUGUGUGUGUGUUUGGGGUUUUAUUGGGACACAUUCUAACCUCUAGGGUUUAAUAUGCAUACAUCGGUAGGCCGUGCGUAGGUGUCCAUAUCAGGUGUUAAAAGGUCACAAGUGAGGAAGAAUGAAAUGGGUUGUGGGAUACUUUUUUUUAAAGACAAUUUUAAGAUGGAAUGAAAAUCUGAAUUAAACAAUAACAGAGCUUUCUACAACAGCAAGACAACAUCUUUACCUUCGCCAAGGUAGUCAAAAUGUGGAAAAUGGUCGGUUUAACAUCACAUUGGUUAACCUCAUAGGAAAUAAUAAUAGUUAGCAAUUUAUUAUGAUAACUUUUAUUCUAAUGUGCAUAUGUUUUUGAAGCAUGUGGUCUAGCUUCGCAGGCAAUAUUUAUGAAAAUUAUGAAAUAAUAAUUCAUGGAAUAGUCAUCAUUAGUCAAGACAUUCACUGUUUGGACGAAUCUACCUCUUGAUUAAUCUCUAUCUCAAUCACUCUCUCUCUUGCUCUCUCUUCCUUUUAGGGAAAAUUUGCCAACUGUUUUUUGCCCACUCUUCAGUAUAUGCAGUGCUGCCAAGUCAAGUGGAAAAAGUGUCAAAUGUCUGUCCAUUCAUCUUCUUCAGGGGUCCUCUGUGAAACCAGACAGGAGCAAACCAAGGAAACAUGAGCCCCCUCUUCCCUCUCACCAUGUGCCUGAAUGAGAUACCAUAUGCAUCUUUUUUCAUUUUAUAUCUGUGAGCAAGAAUGAGUAGGGUGUGUCUCUGUCUCUGAAUGUGUGUGUGUGAGCAAACAUGCGCUGUCCACUGGGAACAACAUCCUGGUGCUGAUGAGUGUGACAAGGAAACUCCAGCAUCAGUGAUUUUGUUGCCAGAGGAGCGUCCCAACCAUUAUGACCAUCCUCUCGGUACGACUCAGUGCUGAUGAACUUUCUGCAUACAUAAAUAAGACAAUUUUGUCCACAUUAUCCACACAGAGAUUGUCAGCAGACAAGUAGAGACAAGCUUCUCUACUCACUCCCAGUUUCUGAUUUAUUGGACUGUACAAAUGGAGUUAAUCGUCAUCCUUUCAUAUGACCACUAGUGGGCAUUAUAUACGGCUUACACUGUACUCUCAGUGAUGGACUCAAGAGGGCAUGGAAGCUCUCUACUAACCUGUGUUUUAGCACCCUUAAUAAUGUCUACUCCUUACAGUCUGAUGAGAUUCACCAAUCCUGUGGACAAAUGCCCAUUGAGGUAUUCUAAUUUCCAGUCCUGCAAAUUUCCAGCAUAGUGGCUGCAUUUCAUAGGUUGCGUCUGUCCUUGAUCAGCAUUUUCCCAGCAUGUACUGGUGUUAAAUUUUAUCAUCUCUUUUGUUUUUUUCCCCUCUAGUAUUCUGUUUUGGCUCAGUUUUUGAGCAAUCAUACUUCAUCAUUGUGAACCGAAAUUCCAUUUACCCUAGAAACUUUAUAUUUGAAAUAAAAUGAUGACAUUGCAAAUA